AAUUAUACCCUCAGUUCCACUUUUGUGCCCUUGGAUGCCUCCACCUCAACCGCUUUUCUUUACCUUCCGCCUUGGCCCCGCGCUCCGCCCCCGACCUCGCUCGGCCGCCGAAGCCGGCGACGAGACGUCUCGGCUGCGACGGCGAUGCUCGAUGGUCGCACGGAUCGCGACGAGGAGGAGGAAGAGAUGAAGGAGGAGGAGUUGGGGCCGGAUGGUACGCCGAUGCCGUGGCCGACAAGCCCGAUCCUACUCCUCCCUCGGGACGCGCUCUAUAACGUCCUCGGUCGCCUUACCCUCCGCGAGGCGCUCGCUUGCCGCCCCGUCUGCCGCGUCUUCCUUGACGCCCUCUCCUCCACUCCCUUCUUGGCGUCCCUAGCCCCGCUCCGCCUCCUCGCCCUCCGCCACCCCCGGGCCGCCGAAGCUUCCUCCUCGCCCUCGCUCUACGCCUUCGAUCCCUCCCUCCGUCGUUGGCUCCGGCUCCCCCUCGCCUUUCUCCCGUUCCGAUCUUCUUCCCCCGUCACCGCCUCCCCUUCCCCCUCUCUCCUCUACCUGUGGGUCGAUGCCGUCCCCUCCCCCUCCACCGUCGCCGGUGCCAAGAACCACCCUAAAUCCCUCGCCGUAUGCAAUCCUCUCACCGGAUCCCACCGCCUCCUCCCCCCGCUCGGCUCUGCCUGGUCCCGCCACGGCACCGUCCUUGCCGGCCCUGGCGGCGCCGUCCUUGUCGUCACGGAGCUCGCCGCCCUAUCCUACGCCCCGGGCACCGAUCGCUGGCUUAAGUUCCCCUUAAGCCUCCCCUCCAAGCCGCGGAGCCCGAUCCUGAUGUCCGGCGCCGUCUUCGCUCUCUGCGACGUCGGCACCCCCUGGCGGAGCCAGUGGAAGCUCUUCUCCUGCCACCUACGCGACCUCGGCGGCACCCGCGGGUGGGCCUCGCUCGAUCGGCACGAGUGGCGAGACAUGUUUAACAUCCUGAAGCGGCCGCGGCUCCUUCCUGGUGCGGGGGGCAGGCGGAUUCUGAUGAUCGGAGGGUUGAGGUCCUCGUUCGCGGUGGAUGGUCCAUGCUCGACGGUCAUGAUCCUGAGGCUGGAUCUGGCGACGAUUGAGUGGGAGGAAGCGGGGAGGAUGCCGCAGGAGAUGUACAGGUGCUUUGGAGGUGGAGUCUUUGGGCCAAUGGCAGCACCAGCGGCAGCCGGGGGCAACAAUAAGGUGAAAGUCUUUGGUGGAGAUGGGAGGAUAUGGUUCUCAGGGAAGAGGGUGAGAGGAAAGCUGAUAAUGUGGGAGGAGGACGACAUCGGAGGUAGUGGCGGUGGCCUGUGGAGUUGGGUGGACGGUAUUCCAGGUUACAAUGAGGGCAUGUACAGGGGUUUUGUGUUUGAUGCUGGAUUCACUGCUACACCUUGAAUUGCUCAAUGAACUGCAUGUGCAGUGGCGACUGUGAUAUUAAUGUUCUUUAUCUGCUUUCUUUGGUGAAAAUUUUCAGAGCCGACAAGCUAAUAAUUCAUACUCUUCAUCACAAAAUAAUUCAUACUCUCAACAAAAAAUCACUGGGAAGGGAGCAUGAUGCAUAUUGAAAAAUGUGGUGGAUAAAUCAGCAUUUGCAUCAGGAGUUAUGACAGAGGGAGUGCGCCCUAUUGCCUUUCUAUAUACAAGAACCCCUUUUGGAGCAGUUAUGCCUGUGUGAAGCUUGUGGUGAUCAUGUACAAGUUGCCAUGGCAAUCAUGUUCUGUCGAUUGAGAAUGAGAACCCGAAGGUGUUUCCAGGGGAACUGGAGAGUAAAAAAAGAAGAUGCAUUCGAUUUCUAUGUAUUUGCUCGGCACCCGCUAAGGUCAUCCAGAACGUGUCACUCGUUCAACAGUAGUGUUGCGGUGGAACGAAUGGAGCGAUAUAUGAAUUUGUUCCUGUGCUUAUGAAACUGUCAAGCGAAUGACAUCCAGCUGAGAGGUGACAAAUAGUCGCAUCGGAACUAUUAAGGCGGCAUGAGAGCCCGAAAAGUUAAAGCUUCAGAAAGGAUCGCAUCCAGGAUCCAGGUACACAUCAUCAAGAUAUCCUUUGAAUAGUAUGAAUAGCACUAACUCUUUGGUGUGUUGUUGAUGAUGUUACAUAUGACACAUGGAUUCCCCAACCUCUGAAUCUUAGUG